AUAAAUAGGAAAUGGACGUUACCGCGAGAAGCUUGCUCCCAAGAGCAGCCCACUCCGACGACGUUAAACUAGGAAGAGUGAUUGGCCCCCUCCCCUUCCUGUUACAAACAGAGAAGAGAAGGACUGAGACACUCCCAGUCAUUAGUUUUCUUCAGUGGCACUUUGUUUCUUUCGGACAGUGAAAAGAGGCCCUCGGAGAUGCGACAGUCCCCUUGCAGUUUAUCAAUGAAAAUCUAAUAUCGUCCAUAAGGAGAGAAGUGGAAAUCAAUACUUCAUUACCAAAUUGUUAGUGAGGAUGAAGAGAAAUGGUUCCCAUAACAACUGCUUUCAAGCUCAUCCGUACUUUGGUCAUGCUCACACACAUGCAUCCUUUUCCGGAAUGGACUGAAGCUGAUGGGUUUGGGUGGCUCCCUCCCGUGGUGAUCAGGAUCUGCACCUGGGAGACCAGAGCUGCGCUGUGAAGGGCGUUUUUAGCCCACCCUUGAGGAGGAACACAACCUACUGUGACUUAUCAGAAUAGUCUUUUCCUUGGAACAUAGGAAUAUGAAUGACAUGCUAGCUAUAAUCACACUACUGUAAAGAAAUCCCAACUUUUGAACUUCUUUGAAAGGUCGGCUUAUAAUAAAUCUCCCAGGUGUGUCACAUGCGUGACAGACACAUCAGGACAUGAGCCAGGCAGGCAGCUGCCCAAGGCUUGAGGCUGGAGACCUUUCUAAUCAGCACCAGAGCAAACAGGUUCCAUGGGGCCUCUCUCUGCUGUCACCGGUCUCAACUGGCUGUGCAGUGGGUGAGUAGGAAGUGUUGCUUGGUAUGAUGUCUUUCUGCCUGGUUUAUGGGUCUUUGUUAGCUUUCUCUAGCUGUGACCAAACUUUCAACCAAAACAGCUUAACAGAGGAAAGACUGCUGCUCAGUGUCCUGAAGAUUUCAAUCCAUCGUGGCAGAGAAGAUGCUGAGGAAAAGGGGGAGACAGGCAGGGGACAAGCUAUGGACCUCCCCCACUUCACCACCACCAAAUAACGUGCCAGUUAUGAACUUGUCUUUGUUAGGGUUUUAUUGCUCUGAACAGACACCAUGACCAAGGCAUCUCUUAUAAAGAACAGCAUUUAAUUGGGGCUUGCUUACAGGUUCAGAGGUUCAGUCCAUUACUAUCAAGGUAGGAGCAGGGGAACUUCCAAGGCAGGCAUGGUGCAGGCGGAGCUGAGAGUUCUACAUUUUCAUCUGCAGGCUUCUAAGAGAAGACUGACUUCCAGGCAGCUAGGACCAGGGUAUUAAAUCCUACUCCAGCAAGGCCACACCUCCUAAUAGUGCCACUUCCUGGCCCAAGCAGAUACAAACCUUCACAGAACUCAUUAAGGGAUUCAUCCUUUGAUUUGGCCUCAGGGUUGCGCGUGUUCCAGACACACCCAGAGGUAGGCAUCAUUAAUUCCCUAAGUGCUCUUUAUUCCAGACCAAUUAGCAUUAACGUUUCCCUGAGCUACAUCCCCACCCCCCCAAAAUGGGCUAAGGCCUUCUGUAUCUCUUUGUGCAACAUGGCUGUUGAAUGGAGCCAUCAGAGACAAGGUACCACUCCUGGGACACCAAGAGAGGCAGGCGAGAAGACACGAGGCCUCCUGAGAGUGGGGCCAACGCUGUCACCGAGUGUCACCCGCGUCCUCACUCGUGUGUCAGCUCAGAUGACCUCAGUGGCAGAUCUUUCCUUAGCUCACAUUCUUCAUCCUCAGGCUGCCCACGUGGUUAAGAAGCAGGAAAGAAAGCUGGCCUGAAGCUUUGCCCAAGAACCCUCCUGAUGGCUAGCGAUGAGGUUAUGGAGUCUGAACUGCUGAAUGGUUAUCCCUAAUUAUAAUCCAAGGUCUGUCAAUCUAAAUAAAAAGGAUAAGGUGGGGAGCCAGCCCCUGCUAUCCACUCCUCUCCAUGAGCUUUUAAACUCCAAUCUGUUUUCAGGAUGAUGCUUUGACGGGGCCUGGAUUGAAUAAUUAUCGAAAUGGAACUCAGUGUUAAGUAAAACUUAACUUUUUUUUUUGCAAUAAAGAAUGGUUAAAAUUAUUAUUAUUAUUAAAGACAGAAAGGGAUACCU